CUGGCUUUUCUCAGUGUGGUUUGUGUUGUAACCCUAACAGUCUGUGAGGGUGGUACACAUGGUAAUCUUUGCUGAGCAUAUCCUGAACGUCUGAUGUUUGUUUUGCUGGUUUUGAACUCUCACAUUCUGGAAAGAAAAGGGAAGUAGAAAGACAGCUGGGCAGCACAGACAUUUAUUUUACCUUCAUGUUUCCUUGAACCUCCUUUGACUGAUGGUUGCUUACUGCCAGAAUAUUCCAGUCCCAACACACACAACCUCAC
rnacentral:lncRNA from 1 species